UACAGAGGGGGCAAGCGUUGUUCGGAAUUACUGGGCGUAAAGCGCGCGUAGGCGGUUUGUUAAGUCAGCUGUGAAAGCCCCGGGCUCAACCUGGGAACUGCAGUUGAUACUGACCGACUAGAGUACGAGAGAGGGAGGUAGAAUUCCAUGUGUAGCGGUGAAAUGCGUAGAUAUAUGGAGGAAUACCGGUGGCGAAGGCGGCCUCCUGGCUCGAUACUGACGCUGAGGUGCGAAAGCGUGGGGAUCAAACAGG
rnacentral:rRNA from 1 species